UCCCAGCUGGCUCAGUGAUAAAGAAUUUGCCUGCAAUGCAAGAGACUCAGGUUCAAUCCCUGGGUUGGGAA
rfam:Ovis aries breed Texel chromosome 3, whole genome shotgun sequence.